GACGAACGCUGGCGGCGUGCUUAAUACAUGCAAGUCGAGCGGACUUUCCCUGCUGCUUGCGCGUCCGCGGGUUGCCAACGGGCGAGUAAGAAGCGCGUAGCCUACCCUCGCCUAUGACCGGACUUCCAUUAGCUAGCGCUAACUCCUAACAGGUGCACCUGCUGCAUGGUGGGGGGGGGAGAGAUUCGGCGGGUGGGGUUGGACUCGCGGCUUAUCAGCUUGCUGGUUGGGUAGUGGCUGACCAAGGCGUUGACCGGUAGCCGGCCUGAGAGGGUGACCGGCCACAAUGGGCCUGAGAUACGGAGCAGACGGCUACGGGAGGCAGCAGUGGGGAAUCUUGCGGAACAGGCGGAAGCCUGAUGGAGCAACGCCGCGGGCGGGAUGACGGGCUUCGAGGGAAAAACCGCUUGCGCAGGUGACGAAGUGGGAGUGACGGUAAUGGGUAAAGAAGCACCGGCUAACUACGUG
rnacentral:rRNA from 1 species